rnacentral:rRNA from 1 species
CACGGCCCAGACUCCUACGGGAGGCAGCAGUAGGGGAAUCUUCCACAAUGGACGCAAGUCUGAUGGAGCAACGCCCGCGUGAGUGAAGAAGGGUUUCGGCUCGUAAAGCUCUGUUGUUAAAGAAGAACGUGGGUAAGAGUAACUGUUUACCCAGUGACGGUAUUUAACCAGAAAGCCACGGCUAACUACGUGCCAGCAGCCGCGGUAAUACGUAGGUGGCAAGCGUUAUCCGGAUUUAUUGGGCGUAAAGCGAGCGCAGGCGGUCUUUUAAGUCUAAUGUGAAAGCCUUCGGCUCAACCGAAGAAGUGCAUUGGAAACUGGGAGACUUGAGUGCAGAAGAGGACAGUGGAACUCCAUGUGUAGCGGUGAAAUGCGUAGAUAUAUGGAAGAACACCAGUGGCGAAGGCGGCUGUCUGGUCUGCAACUGACGCUGAGGCUCGAAAGCAUGGGUAGCAAACAGGAUUAGAUACCCUGGUAGUCC